CAGCGAGGCGGUCUAUUUAAAUCGUGGCUGCUCGUUUUCAUUGAGGCCGUUGAACAGCUCUGUGGCUAAGUCUGCUCGAAGCUCGGCGCCUAAGCUCAUAUAACAUUUUACAGGCAUGUUAGCCCGCUAGCAGUCCAGAUGAGUCCCUUCAGAGCGGAUUUGGGAGAGAAAUAAUAGUUUUUGGCGCUCCCUGCCACUGCUGCCCACCAUUCAGGGAUUCGGCUUUCUCAAGCGGCAGUGCCGGUGGCUUUUGGCUAGUUCUCCGAACCAAACUCCACUUUGAUUUGGAAGCAUUUUGGAAGGAUUUAUUGUUGCUGAGAUGACGGCGAACAGUUCUUCUCUUCAGAAAGCAACAGACAGACAUUUUCCCCAACUCUUGCUCAAUGAAGUCCAAGAGGGAGAUGCAUGUGGACCAGAGAUGUGGGAGAUGAUUCAUUCUGACACAUCCAGACAAUUCAGCAGCUACAGGAAUCAGAGCUUGACCGUGGUGUAGCCGCAUGCAGCUGCAGUUCUGUCUGCGAGAGGUGGCUGGGAAAUAUCUGGGUCAUUCCAUGCCAACUAACCCAGAAUUCAGAACUUUUCCCAGUUCAUGUCAUGGAUUUUCUUGUCAUAACUUCUAUAAAAUGAAUGGGACCUUGCAAAAUCCUGUAGCUCUACUCCAGAUACUAUUUUAGUUAUGAAUUUAAUUUUUGAAAUUUGGCCCUCGGAGCUCAAUUUCAUAAUUUCUUGCGAACCAAGAACCCUGAGGAUAAUUUGCAACAUGUGUUCAUGCGAAUAGUUGAUGCUGAACGUUUUACAUUAAUCAAAUUAAUA